rnacentral:rRNA from 1 species
UACGUAGGUGACCAGCGUUGUCCGGAUUUACUGGGCGUAAAGAGCGCGCAGGCGGUCGUUCAAGUCGAGUGUGAAAGCCCCCGGCUCAACUGGGGAGGGUCAUUCGAUACUGAUCGACUGGAAGGCAGGAGAGGGAAGCGGAAUUCCCGGUGUAGUGGUGAAAUGCGUAGAUAUCGGGAGGAACACCUGUGGCGAAGGCGGCUUUCUGGGCCUUACCUGACGCUGAGACGCGAAAGCGUGGGGAGCGAACCGG